rnacentral:rRNA from 1 species
AUUGAACGCUGGCGGCAGGCUUAACACAUGCAAGUCGAGCGGAGCGGCGGUCGGGUGAGUAAUGCUUAGGAAUCUGCCUCUUAGUGGGGGACAACAUCCCGCAAGGGAUGCUAAUACCGCAUACUCUCAGAUGAGCCUAGGUCGGUUUAGCUAGUUGGUGGGGUAAAGGCCGACCAGGGGGCCGAUCCGUAACUGGUCUGAGAGGGUGAUCAGUCACACUGGAACUGGAAACCGGUCCAGACUCCUACGGGGGGCAGCAGUGGGGAAUAUUGGACAAGGGGCGAAAGCCUGAGCCAGCCAUGCGGCGGGGGGGAAGAAGGUCUUGGGAUUGUAAAGUACGUUAAGUUGGGAGGCGGUACCAACAGAAUAAGCAACGGCUAACUCCGUGCCAGCAGCCGCGGUAAUAC